UCCCUUUGCUGCGCCUACCGCCGCCGCCAUUGCUGCCGCCGCCGGAUCCAGAUCCGCCCCCUGGUUCCCGCCGGUGGAGGAGCGACACCCGCCCUGAACGGCGCAGGACGAGUUGCCGGAGUAGACGAGGAGCGCCGUGGCCCGUGGCCGUCGCCACCUUGUCCUCGCUGGCCAGCCGCGAUUUCUCGAGGACAAGGAGGUCGCCGGCCUGGGCGAACGUGCGGAACACGGAGGCCUUGGCGAGGUACACAUUGGUAUUCUCAGGAGCCUCCUCUCGGGGAUCUGAUACUAAAGAAGCUUGAUGAGGUUGAAAUCUCGGUGACAUCGGCGGAAACACUUUGCAUUUGAUUUAAGCGAUUCUUUCAACACGCUAUUCUAACUAAUUGAUAUCAUUGCAUGACUAACAAAUGUAGUGACUAAUGUAGAAUUGUAGAUAGGUUCUGCAAGUAGCUGUAAAAGGACGUACAAAAAGCUUCAAAAGGAUCAGGAACUUCAGAUUUACUCCUAUAAGUUAAUGGUUAUAAGACUUUGAAGCAUUUGCUGCCAUCAAAUUGUAGCUGAGGCACCGGAUAUAUGUGAGAGUUUGGAGAUGUGGGGCCUUUAAUGAACUUCAGUUUUCAGAGCUGCAGUCCUUUAGCUCAGAGUUCAAGCUAUACACCAAAAUUUCGGUAUUAUUAGUGUUCUGCGGUGAUGUAUAUCUAUCAUCCUUUUCCUUUUCUCUCCCUUUUUUGUGUGCAGGGAGAUGUCUUUAUUGGUUAUUUAGAAGUUCAAUUUACUUGUGUUGGUUCUCCUCGCUUGUAACAUGAACGUUCUUUUGACUCAGAAAAUGCAAGCAAUGGUACAAGUACAAGGGGUUGAAACUUCCAAAACCAAGACCUCAUCCAGUUGAUUCAAUAUAUGCUGACACGUGACACUGUGACAGGAUUGGACAUGAUAUGGCUGAUGCCGAUGGAUCCUUUUGGUGGCUAUCAACAUCGUCGCCGCCGUGGUUGCGCGCUGUUGAUAGUGGUGGGCUGUGUGCGAACAUUGUCACGGUGGCUAUAUUAUAGCCCAGGAUACUUGUAACUUUUGUCUUAUAUUUCGCGCUGUCUAAUAUUGUCCAAUAAUAGAUGGUGAUGUCUUGCUUUUUUUUGCCGCUUUCUCUACUCAAGCCUGGAAUUUCACUUUCUGCGCAUAAAGUUAUAUGUAUAGUUGAAAGGGAACAAUCAUUCAGAAUUGCAACUAGCUAGAAAAGGAUAUGCUUGGUGAUCA